GAUGAACGCUGGCGGCGUGCCUAAUACAUGCAAGUCGAGCGAACAGAUGAGGAGCUUGCUCCUCUGACGUUAUCGGCGGACGGGUGAGUAACACGUGGAUAACCUACCUAUAAGACUGGGAUAACUUCGGGAAACCGGAGCUAAUACCGGAUAAUAUAUUGAACCGCAUGGUUCAAUAGUGAAAGACGGUUUUGCUGUCACUUAUAGAUGGAUCCGCGCCGCAUUAUCUAUUUGGUAAGGUAACGGCUUACCAAGGCGACGAUGCGUAGCCGACCUGAGAGGGUGAACGGCCACACGGGAACUGAGACACGGUCCAGACUCCUACGGGAGGCAGCAGUAGAGAAUCUUCCGCAAUGGGCGAAAGACUGACGGAGCAACGCCGCGUGAGUGAUGAAGGUCUUCGGAUCGUAAAACUCUGUUAUUAGGGAAGAAGAAAUGUGUAAGUAACUAUGCACGUAUUGACGGUACCUAAUCAGAAAGCCACGGCUAACUACGUG
rnacentral:rRNA from 1 species